ACUCCUACGGGAGGCAGCAGUGGGAAUAUUGCACAAUGGGCGCAAGCCUGAUGCAGCCAUGCCGCGUGUGAGAAGGCCAUCGGGCUUGUUAAGACACUUUCAGUUGUGAGGAAAGGUUAGUCGCUAAUAUCGGCUAGCUGUGACGUUAGCAACAGAAGAAGCACCGGCUAACUCCGUGCCAGCAGCCGCGGUAAUACGGAGGGUGCGAGCGUUAAUCGGAAUUACUGGGCGUAAAGCGCGUGUAGGUGGCUUGUUAAGCCAGAUGUGAAAGCCCCGGGCUCAACCUGGGAACUGCAUUUGGAACUGGCAGGCUAGAGUUUUGUAGAGGGUGGUAGAAUUUCAGGUGUAGCGGUGAAAUGCGUAGAGAUCUGAAGGAAUACCGGUGGCGAAGGCGACCACCUGGCCAAUAACUGACACUGAGACGCGAAGGCGUGGGUAGCAAACGGGAUUACAUACCCUGGUAGGCUCUG
rnacentral:rRNA from 1 species